GACAGAGGGUGCAAACGUUGCUCGGAAUCACUGGGCGUAAAGCGUGUGUAGGCGGCUUUGUAUGUCGGAUGUGAAAGCCCACGGCUCAACCGUGGAAGUGCAUCCGAAACUGCAUAGCUUGAGUCCCGGAGAGGAAGGUGGAAUGCUUGGUGUAGAGGUGAAAUUCGUAGAUAUUCGCAAGAACACCAGUGGCGAAGGCGGCUCACUGGCCCGAUACUGACGCUGAGGCACGAAAGCGUGGGGAGCAAACAGG
rnacentral:rRNA from 1 species